AGUUAAUCACUGCCAGAGGAACUUGCUUGCAUUUCUCCACUAUUUCUUUCCCAAUUCCAACCAAAUUUGGAUGCAACUCCAUUUGCCCUUCCUUGAAUGCACACUUGUAAAACAACGACAGACAGUCCUCUUGACCAAGAAGACUUAGGUUGUACGCAGCAACAGUACCCAUAAUCUCAGCAACACGUUGACUACGGGUAGUUACUAUAAUCUUACUUCCAUCAGCACCUUUUGAUAACAAAGGCUUCAACAACAACCAUUUUUCAGCAUCUUCAUUCCAAACAUCAUCCAAAAGAAGCAAGUAUUUCCUACCAUUCAAAAUUUCUUCAAGUUUUUUUUCAAGUUCAACCCCAUCCAAAUCGGCACAUCUUUCCCCAGUAGUUGCAGAUUUAAUAAUCUUUUGUAUCACUUGUUUCAAGGAAAAAUCAUCUGAAACACAUACCCUCAUCUUCAGAUCAAAAUGACUUUUUACAUUUUCAGCAUCACACACCGAUUUGGCAAGAGAUGUCUUCCCCAAGCCUCCCAUUCCUACUAUUGGAAGGACAAGGGGAUGUGCAUCACCAACCUUUAUAGGUGCUAUUAAAAGGUUGAUGAUGCGUUCUCUGUCUUUAUCUCUUCCGAUAAGACCGGAAAAGCUCUCAAAGGAUCGGUUCAUCUCUGUUUCCUCAUGCAAGACAUGACUACAAUCAAUAGUCUGCUCGCUGAGGUUGUAGUCAGACUUAAGAGCUGAAAUAUCAUUUAGUCUUUCUAUGAUCUUCUUUAUCUUAUGACCCAUUCUUAACCUGAAUGGAAUCAUAUUAGAACUUGUAAAGAAGUGUUGUACCUUUCUGCUGGUGCUCCCUUUAGUUUUCACCACCCGCCUUUGCAAAGUUUCGCACUCGAUUUCGUCCAGCACGUCCUCUGCAUCAUACAAGACUUCUCUGAGCAUAUGGAGCCAGAGCCGAAUCCUGUCAUUCUUUGAUUGUUGCUUCUCAGCAUCGGACAGCACCACGUUGAUGGCUUUCAAUCUCUCUUCAAGACGUGCAAGGUCAUCUUCAAGUCCCCAUGCCAAACGAAAUUCUUGUACAGCGAAAGAUCCCAGCUUCCCUAAAAGGGAUUUUGCAAUCUCGGCUGCAAAAGCUUCUGCCAUUUUUUUUUGAGUGAGGGGAGAAGUGUUUGAUAGGAAGAAAUGAUUGAGAUAAGAGUGGAGUUCCGCUUUCUGAGUGGAUAGGAGAAGUCGUUGAGUCUUCUUGAUCAUAAAAUUAAGGUAUGAAAAGUCAAAAAGAAGAAAUUUACAAGAAGUUGCUAAUAAGGAAGGACUAGCAAUUUGGAGUUGUGCAAUUGUGUUGUAGCUUCUUCCAUGGAAUAUUGACCACACAUGGUCGAACUCAUUUGGGGAUUUGGGGAGAGUUUGAUGAAAAAACGAAAUGGAAUCAGUAACUGAAAAAUGACGGGUCGUUUUGGAAAAUCGGUGGUUUUGAGAGCUUAUAAUUUAAAACUCAUUUUGAGCCAAUUUAAAAUUUUAUUUUAGAGAACAAUUAUACAAACUAAAAUGGUGUAAGUUUUAAGAAAUACAUGAAAAUUAUAUCUAAUUUAUAAAUUAAAAAAAAAAACACGACUCUGUUCAUCAAGUAAAAUGAACGAGCAAACCAGAACAGAGCUCGCCAGAAUCCUCGAAUGGAUUUGGUUAUGGUAGCAUUGCACCAGACACAUUAUGUGAGGAAAUCCUACGACGUCUUGCUGGGCAUAGCUUGGAGACCGUUCAUGCAUUCAACAAUUCGCAAAAGCAUGAUCCUGGUUCAUGUUAUAGGUGAUAGGGUCUGACUCAGAUUGAUAGUCGAUGACUGGAUAUUUAAUUUAAGCAAUUCAUUUUUUCAAGCAAAAGCAAUGAUUUCUUACUCCUUUUGUCAUCAUUCUUGUCUGAAUAUGUGUGUGUGUGUUUCAUCGUCCAAAGAGCAUUGCAAUAAGGCCACUUGCUUUCACUUUUUUUUUUUUUUGCAAAACUAUAAUCGCAACUUUAUAAAGUAAGGAAAUCAUUGAAGAUUACACUAUUGCUAUGCUUUAGAAAAGCUCACCAAGGCAUAGCUGUGGUAUCCUAUCUGAGAUUUCACUUGUAACAAUAUAAAUGUAUUGUCCGGUUAAUUUACGAGUUACUGGAAUGAGUCGGGUUAAUAAUUUUCUUUCAAAGAAACAAGAAUUAUGUUAAUUUAGCUGGGUUUGGUUUGGUCCUGGAUUUGGUUUGGUCUAGUGAAUCCGUUAGUUCAACAAAGUUUGAUCGGGUGAAUAGUUUUAAAUUAAAAUUCAUUACAAGUUGAGUUUUGAAUCGAGUUUUUCAAGUUAAUCUGUUCAAAUCGACAAAGUUUAAUAAUUACAGCACAAAGGAACUCUUUCCAUCUUUGAUUCAUAAAAUAACUUGGACCCGUUUGUUUGCUGGAAAGUAGUUUUCUUUUGAAAAGUGAAUUAUUUUUUCAUGUUUGGUAGUGUAAUGAAAAAUAAGUUAGAAAACACUUUCUAGUGUUUGGUUAUAUCAUGAAAAAUAAGCUAGAAAAUAACUUAUUAAUAUUUUAUUUUUAAAAAAUUUAUUAAAAUAAUGAGGAACAAAACUUACAAAUUAAAAAGUUGAAUGAGAAUGAAAUUGAAAAAAACAUAAUUUUAUAAAUUAUCUCAAAUGAAAUAAAUAAUAAUUAAAAUAAUAGAGAUCAAAUCUAAAAAAUAAAAAAAAUUAAAAGAUGAAGAAAUUAAAAUAAUAAUAAUUAACAUUUUAUAAAUUAUUUCAAAUAAAAUAAGUAACAAUUAAAAAAAUAGGACCAAAUUUGAUAGAUAAAAAAAAUCAAAUACACCCUUAUUAUGAAUGUAUUAAAAGUAUAUUUAAUAUUUUUCAAAAAAAAAUAUAUUAACUCUAAUCCAGUGGAUCACUCAUCAAAAUCAAAAGAAGGCAGUUUAAUUAGAAAGGGAACGCAUGAGAUAGCACAAAAACAAUCAGGAGAAUAAAUUGUUGUCCAAUGAGAGAAAGAAGACGCGUGUAUUCUUCAAAACCUGUUGAAUGUUAUGAUCAUAUCCUAAAAAGAACAUCCCUUCGUAGGGCUUUUACGUCAGAGGGCUAGAACAUAUACUGCAAUUUUUUUAUAUUUUUUAAAAUUAUUUUUUGAUAAUAAUAUAUUAAAAAUUUCUAAAAAAUUAAAAAAUAAAUAAUUUUAACAAAUAAAUUUUAAAAUUUUAUAAAGAAACAAGUUGCACCACAAAAAUUUAUAAACUUUUAAUAAGUUAUGAGCCUAGUAGUGUUUGUACCAUGGACAAACUAGUCCCGAUAUAAAAAUUUAUGAGCAAAGCCAAGGGAAAAAGAAGAAAAAAAAAGUAAUGCUAAAUAAAAAUUAAUAUUUUCAAACAUUGUUUGAAGGAUUGUUUAUAAAAAGCCGAAUGACAAAACAAUAAUUUACUACAUAGAAAAACGUAUAAGGAAAUAAUUGUAAUAAUUUUAACGACAUAGUUAAUCCUUUAGAGGAACAGUAAGUUCCGAAGCAUUAUUGUAAUAAUAAUCCUUUAUUUAAAUGGUAGGUUCUUGAAGGGUGCAGAAAAGGAUGUCUCUUUGUCAAGUUCUUUUUUGCCACAUCUACUCUUCUUAUCGUUAAGUGUUUGCCUAUGAAACUCAUGCAUGAGACAUCUGAUUCUCGAUCGAUGACUGAACCAGAUUACAUUUAUAGUGCAGCUUUCAGGCUCUACACCUAUAUAUCAGGAUGUUGCAAUAUGCAGGUAGCAGCAGCAAACUUCUGCCUCUAAGGGAAGUUUCUGUGAUUUUCUUUUUGGAAUAGAAAAUCUACUCGGCAUGAUAGCUAGUCAUGCAGACCUUUAAUUUAGAGUUUAAUUAGAGCAACAGCAUGUUCCCAUGCAUUACUCAGAUAUAAAGAAAGGGUAGAUGUCCUUGAAGGGUGCGGUAGAGAGUGAAGGCGGCGACGUCAAUGGUUGCUGAUGGUAGGAAGCGAACAAAAGAUUCAACAACAUAAAUAUACCAAUUAUGAAAAGAUCGGUGGCCAACCUUGACUGCUACUGCUUGACGAUCUUUCAACAUUGCAAGAUGCCCCUGGGUUAGUUAAUAUUGUUUUUGAAAAACUUGAACAUUGUUAUCUAAAAUUAACAUCCAUCAAUAUAAAUACAUGCAAUAACAUAAUUUUUAUUUGUAUUUUUAUAUAAAUACUUUUAUUAACCUUAUUGAUUUUAAACUUAUUUAAUAAUAUAACAUUGUAAAACUUUUCAUGCAAUGCAUUUAUUUAAAAAGCUUAUUUCAAACUGUAUGAUAACUUUCCAAGUUUAAAAUCUUUUUCUUUUUUAUUUUCUUUAACAAUAAACUUCUUAUGCUGUGUCAUAAAUACUUCUCCGUCAAAAUCACCAUUUAAAAAAACUAUUUUCUAUAAAUUUAAUGUAUUUUUAACUUGUUAAUAAUUGUAAUAACUAUUAAUGUACAUAUAAAAGUUAUUAUUAACAUAGAUAAGUAUGUAGCAAAAUAAUUUAUAUUUUUUUUGUUGUUUGAAACCUUUGACAAUAAAUCUUACUUUGUAUUUUUGGAUGGUUCUAUUAGCUUUCAGUUUUCUCUUUCUUGAAUAUCUAUUUAUAGCCUAACAGUGAAUGAAUUUUUGGAUGGUGAGUAUAGAUCUUUCAUCUAUAGUUUGAUGAGACCACCUAAACUAUUUUUCUUUGAUUUUUUAUGUGAACGAAUUUCUUAUGUCUUUUGUAAGCUCAGUUUGGCAGUCAUAGAGCCUGUCGAAGUAGAGGGAUUGUUGGGAUUGUUGAGGGGAUAAAGAGAAGUGUUGUUUCAGCGACGGUGAAGAUGGCAGAGAAUGUCCAUUUCUUGGAAUGAAUGACAGUCGAGAUAAGGCAAAUAUGUGUAGGGGAAUAGCUUUAAAUCUUGGCCUAGAAACAUCCCAUGGCCUAGAAGCAAGGAAAAUGACAUGAACGAAACAAAAAGGAGCUCUCCUUAUCUUUUGCGCAAGGAAUAUAUGGAUAGUGAUGAUUCAAAUUCAAGUCACUAAUGCUAAAUUAAAGCUUGAUAACGAUGAUUAGAUAAAUUUAAGCUGCUUGAUGCUGGUGGCACAUAGUUUAGAAAAGGAAAAUGGGACAAAUGAAAAUUCUCAAAACAGAGCUCACAACACCACCCCUGCCUCCUCUGCAAGCUGCAACCUGGUUUCGUUUAAUAUUUUAGCUAUAAAAUACAGUAUGACGAAAACCAGGUUUGAGUAAAUAUAUUACAAAUGGAAGAGCACCAUAUACAGCUCCAAAUUCUAUAUGACAAUCUCUACCACUAUGGUAUCAAAUCUAAAGACGGUUUGUUUUUAUGUUUUAAAAAUGUUAUUGAAGUAUCAGAGUUUACUGGUAGGUUAUGAAGAGAGAAUUUGCAAUCCGCGACGGUUGAUGCAAUCUGUCAGCAAAAGUGAAAAUGAUUAAAACAUGGUUAAGUAAUUAUUAGCUUAGAGAAAGAACGAGGGGAGGUUUUUACCGACGGUGGAGAUUGUGCAAGAAGAGUGAAGGAAGGCGUGUAUUGAAGAGAUGAAUUUGUUAGGGAAGGAGUCGGGGUGGUUGUGGUGGUAUAGAUAGUGAAGGCGGCGUUGCUAGUGGUUGCUGUUAGUGUUAAAAGUUCGGUUUUUCUGGUUAAAGGAAGCUAGAAGUUUUGUUUGAGGGUCAUUUUAUUUUGCAAGAAGAUGGCAGUGGCUGUGGAUGUGUCGAUGAGUCGCCAGUUUUGACAGCGAGGUACGCGGUGGUAAUGUUUGUUUUUUUUAAAAAAAAUAACGGUUUUUCAAAAAACGAUUGGGAUCAAGGGGUGGUUUUGGAGUGUGUUGGGUAUUUUUACUUAAAAAUAUAUUAAAAUAUUUUUUUUAUUUUUUAAAAAUUAUUUUUAACAGUUACAUAUUAAAAAAAUUAAAAAUUAAAAAUAAUUAAUUUAAGCAAAGAAAUUUUAAAAUUUAAUGAAAAACAGAGUGUAAAAAUUUAUAAACUUUUAAUAUGUUAUUGGAUGUCUCUUCGUUAAGAUCUUUGAAGCUCAUGAUUGAGACAUUGCAGUAAGUUUGAGAUUCUUGAUGACUGUUGUAUUAUUAGAAACAAUUAGCAUAAUUAUUUAAAUAAUUCAGAACAACCAAAUGUUUAUCAAUUUAUUAAUGACAAAUCAUCACACAGAGCUUGCCAAAGAAAUUACACAAAGCAAACACUCCGAGCCUUCAGCUGAUCUUUACAAGAGACUAACUGUCGUAGAAGAUCUUGGCUGACAGGACCCUCAUAGUAGUAAACCUGAAGAAAUUAGACAAACAUAGAAUUUAAUAAUGAUGUAUUAAGUUCAACAACGAGGGAGCAAAUGAACUGAUCGGCAACCAUUAUGAACAAAUGAAAAGCCAAGAACAUCACCAGCAGGAACUACGAGCAAAGCACACAGAGAACGAAUAUUAAUCUCCAGCAAACUAAACACUCUUCAUCUUUAUUUGAACAAACUAGAUUGUCAGCAACAACACCGAACAAAUUGAAGUCCCCGAAUUAUAACCGUCAGCAGAAACCCCAACGAAAGCUGAAGAAAAUUAGACAAACAAACAUAGAAUUUAAUAAUGAUGUAUUUGUUGAGCUGUGAGAUAGCAGUUGAAGAUUGUAUUCUGUUACAGUUGGUUAUAACCAACGGGAAUCUUGUAUAGAUAAUACCCAGCUAAGCUCAUGUAUAAAUAGCAACGAUUACAAGCAAAUAAAGUCAUGAAUUAGAAAUCAUUUACUUACCCAUUGUUUCUCUUCUCUGUUCCUCUCUUCAUUAUUCUUCUCUGCAAAUCUUCUUAUUACUUCAACCAUAUUCUCUGUCUCUUCACAACAUAUGGUAUCAGAGCCAUAUCACUAAAAUCAAAUAAAGAACAUCAAGAAACUGAGUUUUCUUGAAAAACAAAAGCAAAGCAGAAAAGAUCAAUCAAUGACAACAGAAUCAAACAAUUUUGUGCAGGCAGCAAUACCAAGAUUUGAUGGUCAUUAUGACCAUUGGUCUAUGCUUAUGGAGAACUUUCUUAAGUCCAAAGAAUACUGGAGUCUAAUAGAAAAAGGGAUUGGUGCAGCAAGAGGAGAAGGAGCACAAUCAGCAGCACAACAGAAAGUAAUUGAAGAAGAAAAAUUGAAGGAUUUAAAGGUCAAGAACUACCUAUUUCAAGCCAUUGACAGAACCAUCAUUGAAACUAUACUCAAUAAGGAGACUUCAAAGGCCAUCUGGGAUUCCAUGAAACUGAAAUAUCAAGGAUCCACCAAAGUGAGACGUGCCCAGUUACAAGCACUUAGAAGAGAAUUUGAAGUUCUUGGCAUGAAAGAAGGGGAAAAAGUUGAUGAGUACUUUACAAGAACAUUAACUAUUGCAAACAAAAUGCAAGUGCAUGGAGAAAGUAUGAAGCAGAAUGUAAUUGUUGAGAAAAUUUUAAGGUCAAUGACCUCAAAAUUCAAUUAUGUUGUCUGUUCUAUUGAAGAAUCUAAUGAUUCUUCAACCAUGUCAAUAGAUGAACUUCAAAGCAGUCUCCUAGUUCAUGAACAGAGGAUGCAAGGUCAGAAAGAAGAAGAGCAGGCUUUAAACAUUACUAAUUCAGAGAAAAUGGGAGGAAGAAUUGAAUACAGAACUGAAGGGAAGGAAAGAUUUCGUGGUGGUAUCAGGGGAAGGGGUCGAGGAAGGGGAAGACAGCCCUACAACAAAGCCUUGAUCCAGUGCUACAACUGCCAAAAACUAGGACAUUUUCAAUACGAAUGUCCUGUUAGAAACAGAAAUGACAGGAAUGCAUAUUUUGCAGAAGUAGAUGAGGAAGAAGAGAUGUUAUUAAUGGCCUACAAAGAUGAAGGGGAUCAUGAAGAUAUACAGCAAAAAGAAAAAGUUGUAUGGAUUCUUGACUCAGGUUGCAGCAAUCACAUGUGCAGCAACAAGGAAUGGUUUUUUGAAUUUGAUGACAAGUUUAGAAGAACUGUAAAGCUUGGAGACAAUUCAAAAAUGAUGGCUAUGGGAAAGGGAAAUAUCAAGCUAAACCAUCAAAGGAAUUACACAGGUUCCACAGAGGUAUAUGCUAAACAUCAAAGGNNNNNNNNNNNNNNNNNNNNNNNNNNNNNNNNNNNNNNNNNNNNNNNNNNNNNNNNNNNNNNNNNNNNNNNNNNNNNNNNNNNNNNNNNNNNNNNNNNNNAAACAGUUAGCAAUUCAUAUCAAAGAUGACAAAUGUAGGGUUUAUCACCCUAAGAAAGGUUUGAUUAUGCAAUCUCAAAUGUCAUCUAACAGAAUAUUUCUCAAAUGACAAAAACAGUUAGCUACUGUGAUAACUCCUAUGGCUAGUUGUCUACAAGCAACAUCUGAAGAUGUCACCAAUCUAUGGCACUGUCGAUAUGGGCAUCUAAGCCUCAAGGGGCUGAAAACCUUGGUUUCAAUGGAUUUUAUAGAUGAUUAUAGUAGAAAAACUUGGGCAUAUUUUCUAUUACACAAAUCUGAAGCACUGUCUAUAUUCAAGAAAUAUAAAGUGAGUGUGGAAAAAGAAAGUGGUGAAAGAAUCAGUUGUUUAAGAACUGACAGAGAGGGAGAGUUCACCUCAAGUGAAUUUAAUGAUUUUUGCAGCACACAUGGAAUCAAGAGACAACUUACCACAGCAUACACCCCACAGCAGAAUGGGGUUGCAGAGAGAAAGAAUCGCACCAUAAUGAAUAUGGUGCGCAGCAUGUUGUCAGGGAAGGAAUUACCAAAGCAAUUCUGGGCAGAGGCUGUAAAUUGGUCCAUCUAUGUGAUAAAUAGAAGCCCCACCACAGCUGUUCCCAAUACUACUCCUGAAGAAGCUUGGAGUAACAGGAAGCCUAGUGUUGAGUGUUUCCGUGUGUUUGGAUGUGUGGCUUAUGCUCACAUACCUGACAAUCAACGCAAGAAGUUAGAUGACAAAAGUUUCAAAUGUGUGUGGUUAGGAGUAAGUGAAGAGUCUAAAGGGUACAGACUUUAUGACCCUGUGGGAAAGAAAAUCAUCACUAGCAGAGAUGUAGUAUGUGUGGAAAAUGAAAAGUGGGAGUGGGACAGAAGUGCAGAAGAGUUGAAGCAUAAAGAGUUAGAAUGGGCAGACAUUAAUGAGGAAGAAGACAGUGAGAUCAGUGGAGGUUUUGAAGGUGUAAACAGUCAUCCUGAACAUGUUGAUGGUGUGCACAAUGAUAACUCAUCAAGUAGUCUUGUAGAUAGUCUACCUGAUGGAAUAUCACAGAAUGACAAGCAAGAAAGGUGCAGAAGAAAACCAACCUGGUUAACAGAUUAUGUGACUGAUGAAGCACUAUCUGAAGGAGAAGAAGAGGGAGGACAUAAUCUUGCAAUGCUCAUCUCUACAGAGGACCCUGUCACAUUUGAAGAAGCAGUCAAAAGUGAAAAGUGGAGAACAGCAAUGGAUACAGAGAUAAAGGCCAUUGAAAAGAACAAUACAUGGGAAUUAACUGUCCUACCAGCUGAAGCAAAACCUAUAGGAGUGAAGUGGGUAUUCAAGACCAAAUUAAAUGAAGAGGGAAAGGUGGACAAGCACAAGGCAAGGCUUGUGGCAAAGGGGUACUCCCAAAGACAAGGAAUUGACUAUAAUGAAGUAUUCGCACCAGUAGCUAGGUGGGAUACAAUCAGAACUAUCCUAGCAUUGGCAGCUCACAAAGGCUGGUAUGUUUAUCAGCUGGAUGUUAAGAGUGCCUUUUUGCAUGGAGAGCUAGCUGAAGCCAUAUUUGUUGAACAACCACAAGGAUUUGAGAAACAAGGAGAGGAGCAUAAGGUGUACAGACUGAAAAGAGCAUUAUAUGGACUCAAGCAAGCCCCUAGGGCUUGGUACAGCAGAAUUGAGACUUACUUUGUCAAAGAGGGCUUUGAAAAAUGCUUCUGUGAACAUACAUUAUUCACAAAAACCAGUGACAAAGGCAGUAUGCUAAUUGUAAGUCUAUAUGUGGAUGAUCUUAUCUUUACAGGAAAUAGUGAAUGCAUGUUUAAAGGCUUCAAAGACUCAAUUAUGAGAGAGUUUGACAUGUCUGAUCUUGGAAGAAUGAAGUACUUUUUAGGUGUGGAAGUCAUACAAAAUGCAGAACUGAUAUUCAUCUGUCAAAAGAAGUAUGCUAGAGAGGUGUUGGGAAGAUUUGCAAUGGAACAUAGUAAUGCAGUGCAGAAUCCAAUUGUCCCAGGAUGCAAACUUACAAAAAAUGAAGAAAAUGCAAAGGGUGUAAAUACUACAGAAUAUAAGCAAUUAGUUGGCAGUUUGCUAUAUUUGACAGCCACUAGACCCGAUCUUAUGUAUACAGUUGGGUUAGUCAGUAGAUAUAUGGAAAGACCCACUGAAAUGCACCUUCAAGCUGUCAAAAGGAUACUAAGGUAUCUCAGGGGAACUACAGAAUUUGGGAUUAUAUACAGAAAAGGGGAUGAAGGACAACUAAGAGCAUAUGCAGAUAGUGAUUAUGCUGGGGAUGUUGAUGACAGGAAGAGUACAUCUGGUUUUGUGUUUAUGCUUGGUACAGGAGCUGUUUCUUGGUCCAGUAAGAAACAACCCGUGGUGACAUUAUCUACAACAGAGGCAGAGUUUAUAGCUGCUGCAUCCUGUGCUUGUCAAGGAGUUUGGUUAAGAAGAAUUCUGGGCAAUAUUGGCCUUGAACAAGUGACUAGUACAGUGAUCUAUUGUGAUAAUAAUUCUGCUAUAAAACUUUCAAAAAAACCCAGUACUACAUGGUCGAAGCAAACACAUAGAUGUCAGAUUUCACUUCCUAAGGGAUCUUACAAGAGAUGGGGUUGUGGAACUAGUAUACUGCAACACACAAGAGCAAAUUGCAGAUAUCAUGAUGAAACCACUAAAGCUGGAGGCUUUCUUAAAGCUAAGGGACAAAUUAGGCAUGGGUAUGAUGCAAAAAUUGAACUAAUCGACAAAUUAGUUCAAGGGAGGAUGUUGAGCUGUGAGAUAGCAGUUGAAGAUUGUAUUCUGUUACAGUUGGUUAUAACCAACGGGAAUCUUGUAUAGAUAAUACCCAGCUAAGCUCAUGUAUAAAUAGCAAUGAUUACAAGCAAAUAAAGUCAUGAAUUAGAAAUCAUUCACUUACCCAUUGUUUCUCUUCUCUGUUCCUCUUCAUUAUUCUUCUCUGCAAAUCUUCUUAUUACUUCAACCAUAUUCUCUGUCUCUUCACAACAGUAUUAAGUUCAAAGAAAUUUAAAUUGCUGAAUGAAUUAGUCAACUUUGCAUUUUAUCAUGACAUACCUUGUCUUCUUCUCUUGCUUAUGGAGUUCCACUUGAACCUGCCUCUCCAAAAACACAAGAGGUUUUGUCAGUUUUUUUUUUUUUGAAAGCUAAUAUUGUUUUCAGGGAAAACAAUUUAAACGAAAAAAAGAAUUGAAGAAUAGAUAAAAAUGUAAAACUAAAUAUGAUAGAUUUAAAUAUGGUUUGCUGCUGCUACCUGCCUAAGAUGUCUCUUCACCACUGUCAUCAUCGUCAUUCUUGAUUUUAGGGAUAUGUUUGAUCUUGGGCCAAUCUUCUCCGGUUCUCCUUCGGCAUCUUUUGCUCAAACUUGGACAAUCACUGAUCUCAAGAUUUUGAAGUUUAUUUAAAUUGCCGAUGCAAUCUGGCAUUUCUACAAUGUUUGGACAAUAUUUGAUCAUAAAUGUUUGCAAGGAUUCUGCAGAUCCUUGAAGAAGCUGUUCUGGUAAAGCAAGAGUUGUUGGUAAGUACUCAAAUAUUACAAUACGAAGGGAAAGGGAAAGAGGUUGAAUUUUUUCUUCUUUCUCUUCUUCUAUAGUCAUCAAAUCAACCUUUCCACAGUGAAUAAUACAAAAUUCUUCUAGAGUAGUUAGGCAUUUUAUGCUUCGUGGCAAAGAAAUCAAGCUUCCACAACUACUGAUAAACAAUUUUCGAAGACUUUUAAGACCUUGCAUAUCUUCGCACAAAUUUUCACACUGAACAAUGAGUAAAGUUUGUAGACACUCCAAACACCCAAUCCCUCCUUCUGGCAACCGCUUCUGCUGAGUUAAUAGAAAUAAAAAUCUAAGGCUGAUCAUGUGCCUCACAUCUUUGGGCAGCUCUUCUAAUCCUUCACCUGUAACUGCCAGAGCUUGCAAGUUUUGCAAUUUGAAAAUAGAUUUUGGGAGUCUUUUUAUUUUUGUAUUGUUCCCAAAAUAGAGAUAUCUCAAAUGUUUCAAGGCCCCAAUACUCUCCGGAAAAGUCUCAAAUUCAGAAUCAUCCAUUAAUUCCAAAGACCGCAAAUGCUUAAAUUCUAACAAACAUUUCUCAAAGUCUGUUUUGCAUGUAGGCCCCACUAUACUAUCUGCAAAGACUAUUGACCGCACUUGAUGGAAGUUGUUUGGGAACGUGGGGAGAGUUCUAUGAAAAAAUGAAUCAGAGUCAAGAACUGACAAAUGACGGGUCGUUUUGGAAAUUUGGUGGUUUUGAGAGCUUAUGAUUGAAAACUCAUUUUGAGCCAAUGAUGACGCAAGAUCAUGCAUUAAAUCAUGCAUCUUAAAGAAAGCCAUAACAAUACCAUCCAAAAUUGGAUCAUAAUCUUGGAAGAAACAUCUUGAGAUCAACUCGCGCACAUAACGCAAGCCAACUUCUUCCAACUUCUCAUUUGGAUUUGAUGAUUGAUGAAUGAGCCCAUGUGCCAUCCAAAAUUGCACCAAAUAGAGAUCCACGAAUAGGUAAUCUUUUGGAAAAACCGAACAAUAAAGAAAGCAUCUUUUCAAGUGAGUCGGCAGUCUUUGAUAGCUUAUUUUCAAGGCAGGUAAAAUACCAUCUCCCUCUUCUUCCCACUUCUCACUGUCUCUCACCGAUUCCCACUCUUUUUCAUCAGUCUUACCAUACAGUUGAGUCCCCAAGUUAAUCACUGCCAGAGGAACUUGCUUGCAUUUCGCCACUAUUUCUUUCCCAAUUCCAACCAAAUUUGGAUGCAUUUGCCCUUCCUUGAAUGCACACUUGUAAAACAACGACAGACAGUCCUCUUGACCAAGAAGACUUAGGUUGUACGCAGUAACAGUACCCAUAAUCUCAGCAACACGUUGACUACGGGUAGUUACUAUAAUCUUACUUCCAUCAGCACCUUUUGAUAACAAAGGCUUCAACAACAACCAUUUUUGAGCAUCUUCAUUCCA
rnacentral:lncRNA from 1 species